AAUCUUUCAGUCUUGAAGUUUUACUGAACAGUGAAGUACUCCCAGUUCUAUGCUUAGUAACUCUGUAUGUAGUAUGUCGGGUAAAUCUGUUUCAAAAUGCGAGGUAUAUUUACAAAUAGACUGCUGUGUGCUGUUACCCUGCUUGGUAUUUUUGUCAGAUCGAAAAAUUCGUCCUAGCAUAUAACCCUGUAGCUUUAUGUCCUGCAAGUAAUGGUUCCAGUCCUGAUGCUAAGUGUUCACAUCAGCC
rnacentral:lncRNA from 1 species